rnacentral:lncRNA from 1 species
UUUUAGUAGAAACGGGGUUUCACCGUGUUAGCCAGAAUGGUCUCGAUCUCCUGACCUCGUGAUCCACCUCAGCUUCCCAAAGUGCUGGGAUUACAGGCAUGAGCCACCGAAACCGGAUGAUGCCUCCUUCUUAAUUUCCAGUCUUGUUGGCUAAUAUCAGAUUUGCUGUCUGGAGAGAUAUAUGAAAUUUAAAGAUGGCAAUCCAUUCCCUUCCCAUCAUGCUUCUUUUUCUACAGACCCGGAGUUUCUGUCCAUGUCCAAUGCAUUCAAGAUUCUUCUGCAAAUCUGAACAGUCAAAAUGCCUACCUCAUCCAGUCUGUGAUCAGCACAGUCUCCCUACUAUUUCUUUCCCACAAAUUUUCAAACCAGUCUUGUGUCAAAACAAUGUUGGAAAGUGCAGUUUCA